UACAGAGGUCUCAAGCGUUGUUCGGAUUCAUUGGGCGUAAAGGGUGCGUAGGCGGCGCGGUAAGUCGGGUGUGAAAUCUUGGAGCUUAACUCCGAAACUGCAUUCGAUACUGCCGUGCUUGAGGACUGGAGAGGAGAUUGGAAUUCACGGUGUAGCAGUGAAAUGCGUAGAUAUCGUGAGGAAGACCAGUGGCGAAGGCGGAUCUCUGGACAGUUCUGACGCUGAGGCGCGGAAGGCCAGGGGAGCAAACGGG
rnacentral:rRNA from 1 species